AGCUGCUCGGCGCCUGCAGCUCCGGCUCGGGGGCUGGAACCGAAGCGGGGGCGGCGGGAGCGCGGAGACCACAGCCCCCGGGGAGAGACGGAGGGGGUCCCUGGCCUGGGCGGAGAGGCUGAGCUGAGUGCGCGUGAGAAAGAGGGCUGCACCGCUGCUCGGCGCGGACUCUGCCAGCCCCAGCUUCAGCCCCGGCUCAGGUCGCCGCAGCCCGGGAGCCUCCCCGCUUGCGCCCCAAGGCACGCGCGGCACAGCCAUGAACACCAACGAUGCCAAGGAGUAUCUGGCCCGGAGGGAAAUCCCUCAGCUUUUUGAGAGCCUUUUGAAUGGACUGAUGUGUUCUAAGCCCGAAGAUCCAGUAGAAUACUUGGAAAGCUGUUUACAAAAAGUAAAGGAACUGGGUGGCUGUGACAAGGUGAAAUGGGAUACAUUUGUAAGCCAGGAAAAGAAGACCUUACCUCCACUAAAUGGAGGACAGUCACGGAGAUCCUUUCUAAGAAAUGAAAGUGACACGGAUCUCUCUGAGACUGCAGAGUUGAUUGAGGAGUAUGAGGUUUUUGAUCCUACCAGACCUCGACCAAAAAUCAUUCUUGUUAUAGGUGGUCCAGGAAGUGGAAAGGGUACUCAGAGUUUGAAAAUUGCAGAACGAUAUGGAUUCCAAUACAUUUCUGUGGGAGAAUUAUUAAGAAAGAAGAUCCACAGUACCAGCAGCAAUAGGAAAUGGAGUCUUAUUGCCAAGAUAAUUACAACUGGAGAAUUGGCCCCACAGGAAACAACAAUUACAGAGAUAAAACAAAAAUUGAUGCAAAUACCUGAUGAAGAGGGCAUUGUUAUUGAUGGAUUUCCAAGAGAUGUUGCCCAGGCUCUAUCUUUUGAGGACCAAUACAGCCUACGCCCUCAGACAAAGAUGCCUGUGCAGUCAGAUCCUCUCCCUUACGCUGCUCCCUGCGGGGUAUGUCCAGUCCGUCAAGAUUCCCCCUAAAGACACAGCCUGUAAGAAAGCAGAAGUCUUUGCCUCUGCCUGCCACAUAUCUUCCGUGAGGCAAUGAAGUACAGAGCUGGCUAUUUGCUUGAUGGACAAAGGGGAAGAGGGGGAGAAAUAAUAAAAUAAUUGUAGUCAUAGUAAUGACAAUAUUGAACAUAUAUUGAGAAUUUGCUAUGUGCCAUUGUUCUGAACCCAUAUAUGUUAAUAUAUUGAUGUUAAUCCUCAAAACAAUCUUAUGAUAUGAAUAGAAGAGUUGUUCUAAUUUUAUAUGUGAGGAGAUGGAGGCUACAUUUUCAAGGAGGCUGGAGAAUCUGCUCCAAGUCACAUGUAUCAAGAGGCAGAGGUGGUAUUUGAACCAGGCUAAGCAGGUCCUGAGGCUUCAGUCUUAACUACCACCUACUUUUUUAGAAACAUAGAUUAAUAUGCCGGAAUAUUCUCUAGCUACAAUUGUUGGGCUUUUAUAACCUAAAAUCAACUCAUACUAAAUGAAUCAAACAAACGACAACCAAAAAAAUAAAAAAAAAAAAGACCAGGAGAAUGGACCAAGAAAUACAGAUGAUAUAAACACAAUACAUUUAAAGAUAUUAUUUUUUGUACUUUUUAAUGUAGCUUAAUUUUUUAAUUGAUACACAAUAAUCAUAUAUUUAUGGAGUACAGAAUGAUGUUUCAAUACAUAUAGUGCAUGGUGAUCAGAUCAGGGUGAUUAGCAUAUCCAUCAUCUCAAACAUUUAUCAUUUCUUUAUGUUGGGAACAUUCAAUAUCCUCCAUCCUCCUUUUAGCUAUUUGAAACUAUAUAUUUAUUGUUAAGUAUAGUCAUCCUACAGUGGCAUAGAACACUAGAACUUAUUUAUUCAAUCUAGCUAUAAUUUUGUAAAGGUACUGUUUAAUUCUAGCAGUAGAAUAAAGUGAAUGGGAGAGAGGCGAACACCUGUAAGGUCCAUAGUAUUCCAGAUUAUGAAAUGACACAGGUAUCUCAGGAGAAGAUGAGAGCUUUUCACAUAAUCAUUCCAAGAAGUUUCAUUUAACAACAGAUAUUUAUUGAGAUGCUAUCAUGUUCUAGGCUAUUGUACUUUGUCCUGGAAACACAAAGAUGAAUGAAUAAUGUACCCUUACGGUAAAAUACGUGUACAUAUAAUCAUGCAUAAUAGAGUAUAAAUACAUACAAUG
rnacentral:sRNA from 1 species